rnacentral:rRNA from 1 species
UGGGUCUUGCACAGGCCCAGAGGCGCAAUGAAAGUGAAGGAUGCCCGUGCCGGCAUCUGCGUUGGGAUCCCGGGACCCCGGUCCCGGGCGCACCAACGGCCCGUCCCACCUGCCUCGUCAGCGGGACGGAGCGAGAGCGUACACGUUGGGACCCGAAAGAUGGUGAACUAUGCCUGGGCAGGACGAGGCCAGAGGAAACUCUGGUGGAGGUCCGCAGCGAUUCUGACGUGCAAAUCGAUCGUCAGACCUUGGUAUAGGGGCGAUAGACUAAUCGAACCGUCUAGUAGCUGGUUCCCUCCGAAGUUUCCCUCAGGAUAGCUGGUGCUCGAGUGGAAUCAGUCUCAUCCGAUAAAGCGAAUGAUUAGAGGCCUUGGGGCCGAAACGACCUCAACCUAUUCUCAAACUUU